rnacentral:rRNA from 1 species
GACGAACGCUGGCGGCGUGCUUAACACAUGCAAGUCGAACGGAAAGGCCCUGCUUUUGUGGGGUGCUCGAUUGGCGAACGGGUGAGUAACACGUGAGUAACCUGCCCUUGACUUUGUGAUAACUUCAGGAAACUGCGGCUAAUACCGGAUAUGAUCUCCUGCUGCAUGGUGUUGGUUGGUAAGUUUCGGCGUUUGGGGAUGGACUCGCGGCUUAUGAGCUUGUUUGUGGGGUAGUUGCUUACCAAGGGUUUGACGGGUAGCCGGCCUGAGAGCGUUACCGGCCACAUUGGGACUGAGAUACGGACCAGAACCGUACGGGAGGCAGCAGUGGGGAAUAUUGCACAAUGGGCGGACGCCUGAUGCAGCAACGCCGCGUGCGGGAUGACGGCCUUCGGGUUGUAAACCGAUUUCGCCUGUGACGAAGCGUGAGUGACGGUAAUGGGUAAAGAAGCACCGGCUAACUACGUG